UUAAGUUCAGCGGGUAGUCUUACUUGAUUUGAGAUCGAGUUUUACAAGAGUCGUUUCCAACCCUUGUGAAAUCCUGCAUCAGUCAGCCAAUACGGUCAGACUCCCUUUAUGUUAGCUGCAGCAAAAGUAAUAAUCCGUUUGACGGGACUAAAUAGAUAUGCUUAUAGCUCAGGAGAAUGUCCAGCUGCACCUGCAUUUCA
rnacentral:misc_RNA from 1 species